rnacentral:misc_RNA from 1 species
UUUCCGUAGGUGAACCUGCGGAAGGAUCAUUAUUGAAACUUGAAUCGUAGCAUUGAGAACUGUUGCUGACCUGUUAAAGGGUAUGUGCACGUUCGACGUGUUGCGUUCUAUUCAUCCACCUGUGCACCUUUGUAGACUUGAUUAACUUUCGCUCUCGAGCGGUUAGAAGGGUUGCUUUCGAGCUCCCUUUGUCUAUCAAGUCUAUGUCUAUAUAAUCUCUUGUAUGUCUAGAAUGUCUUGUUUACGGGACGCAAGUCCUUUAAAUCUUAUACAACUUUCAACAACGGAUCUCUUGGCUCUC